GGACUUAAUUUAGAGAAAUCAGUAUUUUUGGACACCUCACGGGCAAAGAAACGCUAGCGAGAGGGCACGCGUCAACCAGGUGUUCACUGGCUGCUGGUCGAGGUAGAGGAGCGUUUGAGAGUUGUACAGUCACAGAGGGGGUCGUUCCGGAGCGUCAGUCCCUUUUCGGUCUUUUAGAGUCUUUUGUAUUUCAUUUUAUAUUUGCAAUUUCUUUUGUAAUAAUUAACAAACAAAAUUUCUCUCUUUUGUUUUAAUUCAAAGUAUUUUUAUAUUU